rnacentral:rRNA from 1 species
UACGAAGGGGGCUAGCGUUGCUCGGAAUCACUGGGCGUAAAGGGCGCGUAGGCGGCGUUUUAAGUCGGGGGUGAAAGCCUGUGGCUCAACCACAGAAUGGCCUUCGAUACUGGGACGCUUGAGUAUGGUAGAGGUUGGUGGAACUGCGAGUGUAGAGGUGAAAUUCGUAUAUAUUCGCAAGAACACCGGUGGCGAAGGCGGCUCACUGGCUCAUAUCUGACGCUCAGGCGCGACAGCGUGGGGGAUCAAACAGG